CCUAGGAGACCUGAAGGCUGCUUCCGCUAACCCGGGCUGGCGCUGCUAACCUCACCCAACGAUCCCUGCUGUCGGAAAAUGUCCAGAGGCACCAUCCCUGCUAUGAAGAGGGAAUGCCAGUACAACAGCCACAAGGGGUCUUCCUGUGGCCCUCAAACAAAAAAUCACUGCAUUACAUCAGCAGACUGCAUUGGAGAGAAAGGCGCCGGGACAGAAAAGCCUGAGAUAAACCACCUGUCAUUCUUGGAGAAAAGGAUGCUGCGGCUUUCCCGAUUUGGUUGAUGAGAUGGAAAAUCAACCCUUACAGGAAGGACAUCACCAAUUCCGGAAAGGAUGCUGCGCCAGUCAUGUUUCCGCACUCUGUGAGACGUUGAAAUCUCCAGAAGUUGCCCAAGGUUUUCAAGCUGAACACAGGAGAAAUGACUCUGGAUCUCUGAGGACUGUUUUCCUCAAUAAGGAGCUGCAAUCUUGGCUCCACCACCCUCCCUCCAAAACAUCUCGUGUGUCUGGUAUCUGGUUAUAUUGUGGCCUGACAGAGAAGUUUCUUUCGGGGCCAGUGAAUUAAAAAAAAAAAAAAAAAGAAAAGCGGGUCCUACCAACUCAUUAAUACUUUAAUACUUUAAAUUUCCCUCUUUAUAGUAGGUUGAAAUGUCAGUAUCUCUUAAGAACAAUGGCUGAACCAAAUGUUUCCUCAAAACUCACAUUUUUUCCCACCAUUUCAGAAGCUGCCUCAGGACUAAGCUUUGAUUUUUUUUUUUUUUUUUAAUCUGGCCCAAAUUCCUAUCUAAGGGGCCUGGGGAGUCAUGCCCAACAAACCAUAAAUUCUCAUCAGAUGAGUUUUAUUUAACCCUAUAUAUGGUGACUUGCUUUCCAGUCUGACUCUGGCAUGACAUGUGACAAAGAAGAAAGUCAAAAUAUUUUACCCCAAAACAUGUUUCUUUGCCAUAUUUUGAAAUGGUCCUGCAAAGCUGUGCUUUGUGGGGGAAAAUAUGCAUCUGUAAAGAAUCUCUAUUAACACAGCUAGAUCUUUUUCUUCCAGGCCCUCCCAAUCCUGAAGAGACUGAGAGUCUAGCAUUGUUUUAAAGGUCUGAAUAGGAAACAUUUGUCAUCUAUCAUCUCUAAGGGUAGCCAUUAUAAGACUUCAAAAGAACCUUUUGAAGUAUUAUAAUCUUUUAUCUUAACCUGAACAUGUGCUUCCUAUUGAUCCCAGGUCUUCAGACAAUUGUGAACUCAACCAUUUGUCAAUUAGAAAAUGUUUAAAUUGGCUGGGCACAGUGUCUCAUGCCUCUAAUCCCAGCACUUUGGAAGACCAAGGCGGGCAGAUUGCCUGACCUCAGGAGUUCGAGACCAGCCUGGGCAACAUGGUGAAACCCCGUCUCUACUAAAAUACAAAAAUUUAGCCGGGCGUAGUGGCAUGCACCUGUAGUCCCAGCUACUUGGGAAGCUGAGGAAGGAGAAUUGCUUGAACCCGGCGGGCAGAGGUUGCAGUAAGCAGAGAUCGUGCCACUGCACUCCAGCUUGGGCAACAAAGUGAGACUCCAUCACAGAAAAAAAAAAGAAAAUGUUUACCUUUACCUAUAGCCUGGAAAUCCCUGCUUUGAGUUGCUCCAUCUUUCUGAACCAAACCAAUGUUAUUUCUUAAACGUAUUUCAUUGAUGUCUCAUGCCUCCCUAAAAUGUAUAAAACCAAGCUGUGCCCCGAACACCUUGGGCACAUGUUCUCAGGACCUCCUGAGGGCCGUGUCACGGGUCAUAAUCACUCAUAUUUGGCUCAGAAUAAAUCUCUUCAAACAUUUUACAGAGUUGACUCUUAGUCAACAUGUCCAUACCUGAUGAGAUGCUUCAUCAAAAUUCUAGUGGACUGGCUAGUUCAGAAAAUGGACCAGCCAGGUUUGCUUAAAUGCACCCCUGCACAACUAUCUCACUCCUGCUUGGAGCCGGCUAGAUCAGGAGACCUGUCCCUAAACUAAUGUACUCCAUGUCUUAAGUCUUUUUGUUUUGUUUUGUUUUUGUUUUUGACAGAGUCUCAGUCUGUCACCCAGGCUGGAGUGCAGUGGCGUGAUCUUGGCUCGCUGCAACCUCCGCCUCCCAGGUUCAAGAGAUUCUCCUGUCUCAGCCUCCCAAGUAGCUGGGACAACAGGUGUGCACCACCAUGCCCUGCUAAUUUUUGUGUUUUAAGUAGAGAUGGGGUCUCACCCUGUUGGCCAGGCUGGUCUCAAAUUCCUGACCUCAGGUGAUCCACCCACCUCGGCCUCCCAAAGUGCUGUAAUUACAGGCAUGAGCCACCGCACCCAGCCCAUGUGUCUUGGUCUUUUUUACUAAUAUUGAUUAUAAAAUGGAUGAAACUUUGGAUAAAAUUUCUGCGUUAGAAUUUCUUUUUAUAUCUGUCCUAAAGCUUGUAACUACUUGCUCAUGAUUUUUUGUGUAUGUUUAGCAAUGUGCAUGUCAUUGAUGGCCUUUGUAAAGUAUGUUCAAUUGAGUUGUGGAGACAGAGGUGCAAUUGGAGUAGGUUGUAAGAAUAAAAAGGAGUAGGCAAAAAGGCACGGGUAUACCAGUGGACUUCAAAGGGUACUCAGACUUUGUUCUUAAGGGAUCAAUUCCCAGAUCUUCAGUUUCAUAUAAACUCUUUCCUAAAAUUGACUUGCCUAAAAGCAUGUUAGUGUUGUGGGCACAGCUUCUCUUUUCUUAUUUCUGCUUUUACAGUCAUCCUUUUUCCAAAAGGAAGGUAUACAUAUCCUCCUUGUCUAACAAUGGCACAUUGCCCCAGGGUGUAAAAGAGGCCAGGGGUGACAAGCAGAGACACAAUUCAAAGCAUUUGUAUUAAGAGAGCAGUAACUCCAAUGCAUUAUUUUGCAAGUCACAUUUUUUUGUUUUUGUUUGUUUUGAGACAGGAUCUCACUCUGUUGCCCAGCCUGGAGUGCAGUGGUACGAUCUCUGCUCAUUGCAGCCUUGACCUCCCUGUUUCAAGGGAUCCUUCUGCCUCAGCCCCCUAAGUAGCUGAAACUACAGGCAUACAACACCACGCCUGGCUAAUUUUUGUAUUUUUUGUAGAGAUGGGAUUUUGCCAUGUUGCCUAGGCUGGUCUUGAACUCCUGAGUUAAGCUAUCUGCCCACCUCGGCCUCCCAAGGUGCUGGGAUUACAGGCAUGAGCCACCACACCUGGUUUUAAUCUAUAAUUUCAAAGUUAAAAUUUUUUUAAGUCAAAACUAUGUAAAAAGUUAUGCUUAGAAAAGUCUAGCUUCCUCAGCUCUAUCCCUUCCACCUAUUCCUUCCUCUGUCCCCCAGAGAUAACCUAGUUCAUUAUUUUUGGUACAUCUCUGUUUCUUUUUCUUUUUUUUUUUUUUAGAUGCAGUCUCACUCUGUCGCCUGGGCUGGAGUGCAGUGGAGCAAUCUCAGCUUACUGCAACCUCCGCCUCCCAGGUUCAAGCAAUUCUCCUGCCUCAACUUCCUGAGUAGCUGGGAUUACAGUCACC
rnacentral:lncRNA from 10 species